rnacentral:rRNA from 1 species
UGGGGAAUAUUGCACAAUGGGGGAAACCCUGAUGCAGCGACGCCGCGUGAGCGAAGAAGUAUCUCGGUAUGUAAAGCUCUAUCAGCAGGGAAGAAAAUGACGGUACCUGACUAAGAAGCACCGGCUAAAUACGUGCCAGCAGCCGCGGUAAUACGUAUGGUGCAAGCGUUAUCCGGAUUUACUGGGUGUAAAGGGAGCGUAGACGGAGAAGCAAGUCUGGAGUGAAAACCCGGGGCUCAACCCCGGGACUGCUUUGGAAACUGUUUUUCUAGAGUGCCGGAGAGGUAAGCGGAAUUCCUAGUGUAGCGGUGAAAUGCGUAGAUAUUAGGAGGAACACCAGUGGCGAAGGCGGCUUACUGGACGGUAACUGACGUUGAGGCUCGAAAGCGUGGGGAGCAAACA